GCGAAAGUAGCUCAGUGGUAGAGCAUCACCUUGCCAAGGUGGAGGUCGCGGGUUCAAAUCCCGUCUUUCGCU
rnacentral:tRNA from 1 species